GACGAACGCUGGCGGCGUGCCUAAUACAUGCAAGUUGAGCGCUGAAGGUUGGUACUUGUACCCACUGGAUGAGCAGCGAACGGGUGAGUAACGCGUGGGGAAUCUGCCUUUGAGCGGGGGACAACAUUUGGAAACGAAUGCUAAUACCGCAUAAAAACUUUAAACACAAGUUUUAAGUUUGAAAGAUGCAAUUGCAUCACUCAAAGAUGAUCCCGCAUUGUAUUAGCUAGUUGGUGAGGUAAAGGCUCACCAAGGCGAUGAUACAUAGCCGACCUGAGAGGGUGGUCGGCCACAAUUGGAACGGGACACGGCCCAAACCUCCACGGGGGGGAGCAGUAGGGAAAUAUUGGCAAUGGACGGAAGUCUGGACGCGGAACGCCGCGUGAGGGAAGGAGGUCUUCGGAUCGUAAAACCCUGUUGGUAGGGAAGAAAGUGGGGGAGAGUGGAACGCUCAUCAAGUGACGGUAACUAACCAGAAAGGGACGGCUAACUACGUG
rnacentral:rRNA from 1 species